rnacentral:rRNA from 1 species
GUGGGGAAUCUUCCGCAAUGGACGAAAGUCUGACGGAGCAACGCCGCGUGAGUGAAGAAGGUUUUCGGAUCGUAAAGCUCUUUCGUUAGGGACGAACGUGCUCUUUGUGAAUAAUGAGGAUUAAUGACGGUACCUAAAUAAGAAGCCACGGCUAACUACGUGCCAGCAGCCGCGGUAAUACGUAGGUGGCAAGCGUUGUCCGGAAUUAUUGGGCGUAAAGCGCGCGCAGGCGGGAUAUCAAGUCUGUCUUAAAAGUGCGAGGCUCAACCUCGUGAGGGGACAGAAACUGGUAUUCUUGAGUGUCGGAGAGGAAAGUGGAAUUCCAAGUGUAGCGGUGAAAUGCGUAGAGAUUUGGAAGAACACCAGUGGCGAAGGCGACUUUCUGGACGAUGUCUGACGCUGAGGCGCGAAAGCUAGGGGAGCGAACGGGAUUAGAUACCCUAGUAGUCC